rnacentral:rRNA from 1 species
CUUGCUACUUUGCCGGCGAGCGGCGGACGGGUGAGUAAUGUCUGGGAAACUGCCUGAUAGAGGGGGAUAACUACUGGAAACGGUAGCUAAUACCGCAUAAUGUCGCAAGACCAAAGAGGGGGACCUUCGGGCCUCUUGCCAUCAGAUGUGCCCAGAUGGGAUUAGCUAGUAGGUGGGGUAACGGCUCACCUAGGCGACGAUCCCUAGCUGGUCUGAGAGGAUGACCAGCCACACUGGAACUGAGACACGGUCCAGACUCCUACGGGAGGCAGCAGUGGGGAAUAUUGCACAAUGGGCGCAAGCCUGAUGCACCCAUGCCGCGUGUAUGAAGAAGGCCUUCGGGUUGUAAAGUACUUUCAGCGGGGAGGAAGGUGUUGAGGUUAAUAACCUCAGCGAUUGACGUUACCCGCAAAAGAAGCACCGGCUAACUCCGUGCCAGCAGCCGCGGUAAUACGGAGGGUGCAAGCGUUAAUCGGAAUUACUGGGCGUAAAGCGCACGCAGGCGGUCUGUCAAGUCAGAUGUGAAAUCCCCGGGCUCAACCUGGGAACUGCAUUCGAAACUGGCAGGCUAGAGUCUUGUAGAGGGGGGUAGAAUUCCAGGUGUAGCGGUGAAAUGCGUAGAGAUCU